rnacentral:lncRNA from 1 species
CCUGGCCCGAAGGGCCAAGUGAGCUUUUCCCAUCACUUUGCGUCCGUCGUCCGUCGUCGUUAACUUUUACAAAAAUCUUCUCCUCUGAAACUGCUGGGCCAAAUUAAACUAAACUUGGCCACAAUCAUCAUUGGGGUAUCAAGUUUAAAAAAUGUGUGGUGUGACCCCGCCAACCAACCAAGAUGGCCACCAUGGCUAAAAAUAGAACAUA